GAUGAACGCUGACAGAAUGCUUAACACAUGCAAGUCUUUGGUGAAGCUGUGCUUGCACAGCCUAGCCAAGGCGGACGGGUGAGUAACGCGUAAGGAACUUGCCCUGCAGUCAGGGAUAACAGACGGAAACGACUGAUAAGACCUGGUAAAGUCAGGCGGACUCAUGUCCAGCCUGAUGAAAAGAGAUGCUGCAGGAGAGCCUUGCGUCCUAUUAGCUUGUUGGUGGGGUAACGGCCCACCAAGGCAAUGAUAGGUAGCCGGCCUGAGGGGGUGGACGGCCACAAGGGGACUGAGAUACGGCACUUACUCCUACGGGAGGCAGCAGUGGGGAAUAUUGGACAAUGGGGGCAACCCUGAUCCAGCAAUUCUGUGUGCACGAUGAAGGUUUUCGGAUUGUAAAGUGCUUUCAGCAGGGAAGAAAAAAAUGACGGUACCUGCAGAAGAAGCGACGGCUAAAUACGUG
rnacentral:rRNA from 1 species